rnacentral:rRNA from 1 species
GACGAAGGGGGCUAGCGUUGUUCGGAAUUACUGGGCGUAAAGCGAGUGUAGGUGGUUGUCCAAGUUGGAUGUGAAAGCCUUGAGCUCAACUCAAGAAAUGCAUUCAGGACUGGGCGACUAGAGGACCGGAGAGGAUAGUGGAAUUCCCAGUGUAGUGGUGAAAUACGUAGAGAUUGGGAAGAACACCAGUGGCGAAGGCGGCUAUCUGGACGGUUUCUGACACUAAGAC